rnacentral:rRNA from 1 species
GUUGAACGCUGGCGGCAGGCCUAACACAUGCAAGUCGAACGAGUGGCGGACGGGUGAGUAGUGUCUGAGAAACUGCCUGAUGGAGGGGGAUAAGUACUGGAAACGGUAGCUAAUACCGCAUAACAUCGGAUGUGGCCAGAUGGGAUUAGCUAGUGGGGGGGGUAUAGGCUCGCCUAGGCGACGAUCCCUAGCGGGGCUGAGAGGUUGACCAGCCACACGGGAACUGAGACACGGUCCAGACUCCUACGGGAGGCAGCAGUGGGGAAUCUUGCACAAUGGGCGCAAGCCUGAUACAGCCAUGCCGCGUGUAUGAAGAAGGCCUUCGGGUUGUAAAGUACUUUUAGCGGGGAGGCGUUACCUGCAGAAGAAGCACCGGCUAACUCCGUGCCAGCAGCCGCGGUAAUAC